rnacentral:lncRNA from 1 species
AGCUGCAGUUAUCAGCCUCUCUAGGGCUCUUGAACUGAACACUUAUUCUUUUAAAAAUCAUCAACACGGGAUCUGUUGCCAAGAAGAGAAGCCAAUUCUUGUCUCCAUGCUCUAGGAAGUGUUUUCUUUGUAGUACUGUUGGCAUGGAGGUGAAGAGCCUGGAACUCGAUACUGAAAUCUCAGUAACAGAGCUGCCAUUGGGUACAGUUUAUUUUGGAAUUAAAG